UCAGCCUAGUUUCUCAGCCUGUUUGUCUCCACUCCUUUUCAGCUGUCACGCAACAAGGAAGCCAGUCGUAUCUGGUGAUAGCCUAUCAUCCUUUGCUGACUGGAUGGGCGCCAGGCCUGAAUGUUUUAUGUCCUCCCCAAAAUUCACUUGUUGAAAUCCUAACCUCUGAUGUGGUGGUACUAGGAGACGGGGCUUGGGGAGGUGCUUGGGUCAUGAGGGUGGAGCUCUCCUGAGUGGGAUAAGUGCCUUAUAAAAGAGACUCCAGAGAGCUCCUCAGCCCCUUCCGCGAUGUGAGGACACAGUGAAAAGGCUAUGAACCAGGAAGAGAGCUCCCACUAGAACGUGACCGUGAGGUGCCUUGAUCAUGGAUUUCCCACCACCAGAACUGUCUAAGGACUAAGGCAGUGCCCGGCAUGCUGCAAAGAUCAACUAAUGCUUGCUGAAUGCAACUGAUUCAGAGUCCUCACUGGCCACUAUGCCAGCGACUGGACCUGCUGGCCACCUGGCUGAUGGAAGACAUGAUGUGGCAUAAAACAUUAUGAAGGAUAUUAAGUUGUGUUUGAAGAAUCCUAGCCAGCUGUCUUCUAGAAUGUCCCACUUUCCGGCCUCUUCUGGUUGUUUCCUCCCCAUUGGACUUGGGUUAAACAUUUUGGCAAGAACACUUGCUUGGUGUGUGUACGCAGUGGGCCUCUCACUGAUUUUGGUGACGUAGAGUUUGAUCUCUUGGUUAAGGCGGUUUCCUUCAGAUCUAUAAACGUGUUUUCCACUUUACAACUAAUAAGUAAUUAGUGAGGUAAUUCUUUGAGACUGUGUCGUAUCCUGCCCCCUAAAGACAUUCCACGUGGUGGAUUUAUCAGCCGGUGAUGAUCCUCAUAUCUGUUGAUCACCAGUUCUCACAAUAACGGUUGCAUUGCACCACUUUUCCAAUUCUAUCAUUUCUCCUGCCUUUAUAAGUUACCAUUUUUCUGCACAGAGCAACUUCCAUUUCCCGUUUCUCUCUCCUCUGCCUCUCUCUUUCUGUAUGACUGUAGACUCAUGGAUUUUCUAAUUCAAUGUGUUAUAAUUCAUCAUUGUUAUUAUUCUUUUGAAUGCUCAGAUGGCCCAAAUAUGGCCAAGGGGAACAUCCUUUCAAGUCAAUUCCUGUGUCCUUUGACAUAUCCUUAUCAUUCUUUGAACACUUCCUUGCUUCCUGGCCCAAGAUGUCCCAAGUUCAUUUUGAAUUUAUGCUGCCUUAGACCUAGAAUAAACUAUUUUUCCCCCAAACCAUGCAAUUGUUUUUGAACAAGGAAGGGAUAUGACCAAUAAUUGAUUUUGGAAGAUUGCUCUGGCAGUGGUGGCAUACCAGCUGGAAGUGAGAGAACCCAAAAAUAAGGAUUCCAAGUGGAGACAACUUCAAGUUGAGAGGACAAAGACUUGGAGGAAAGGACAUUAAGGAGGAAAUGAACGCCUGGAAAUGGACUGAAAGAAAAAUUCUGGAGUUUGGGACUUGGAUGUAAAGGAGACAGAAUAGGGAUGCCAAGAAGGGUAGUUGAGUUUGGGAGAAAAGUUGUUAGUUUUAGAAAUGUUGAUUUCAAGUGAGAGUAGCACGGCCACACAGAAACAUACAAUAGCCUGUUGAUGAUAAAUUCAAAAGCUGAGACCAGAAAAAAGAACAACAAACUUGUGAUUUUAGGGAUAAAAGAUACCUGAAAUUAUAUUUCUCAUACUGAUUUUAAUGGAGUUUGCCCCAUCACAAGGUGAGAUAAACAGAGCUACUUUUUUUUUUUUUUUUACCGUGGAUUACUGUUAGUUAUACUUUAUAAAGAAAAUUUACCUGUUCACCAAUGCCAUCUUUGCAAAAGGAGGAAGGAUAUUUUGAAAAGAUUAAGCUCAUUCUUCACCAAAUUUACUCUUAAGCAGUUCACUGGAAAUAUCAGUGAAGGAUUCAUUCAUUUCGGGAAAUUGGCAAUCAUGGCACAACAUACACGUAUGUGCACAGACACAAAUUACGUGCAGCGUGUGAUAGAGAUCAUUGCACAAGCCAGGGAAGUCUCAAAAUAAAAUGGGAAUGAGAAUCUCUCUGAGUCACAGUUUCAACACUUACUUCCCCUAGCCCAAAGCCCUCAGUUUUGCCAAUUCCUCACGAAUUUACUGUUUCUUUAUCGAAAAGGUGUAGAAGCUUGCUGCUCUGGUCACUUCCUCAGGUCUUCAUUCUUACGCGAACUCUCCCAAGUACAUAUAAAAAUUCAAUAAAAUUUUUAUGCUUUUUUUCCUAAUUGUUUUACGUCACUUUAAUUUUCAGACCCAGCCAGGGACCCUAAGAAGGUCAAACUUUCCCCUGACUAAAAAGUGAAUCUUGGGGCCAGCCCCGUGGCGUGGUGGCUAAAUUCUGUGUGUUCUGCUUCUGUGGC